UCUUGCGUCUAGCUUGCUCCCUGCAACUCUCACAUGGUUGCCCACUGAAGCUAAGCAGGGCUGCACCUGGUCAGUACCUGGAUGGGAGACCACAUGGGAAAGUUUUUUGCUGCCGGAA
rnacentral:rRNA from 1 species